AUUGAACGCUGGCAGAAUGCUUUACACAUGCGAGUCGAACGGCAGCACGGACUUCGGUCUGGUGGCGAGUGGCGAACGGGUGAGUAAUGUAUCGGAACGUGCCCAGUCGUGGGGGAUAACGUAGUGAAAAUUACGCUAAUACCGCAUACGAUCUAUGGAUGAAAGCGGGGGAUCGCAAGACCUCGCGCGAUUGGAGCGGCCGAUAUCAGAUUAGGUAGUUGGUGGGGUAAAGGCCCACCAAGCCAACGAUCUGUAGCUGGUCUGAGAGGACGACCAGCCACACUGGAACUGAGACACGGUCCAGACUCCUACGGGAGGCAGCAGUGGGGAAUUUUGGACAAUGGGCGAAAGCCUGAUCCAGCCAUUCCGCGUGCAGGAUGAAGGCCCUCGGGUUGUAAACUGCUUUUGUACAGAACGAAAAGGUUUCUACUGAUACUAGGAGCUCAUGACGGUACUGUAAGAAUAAGCACCGGCUAACUACGUGCCAGCCGCCGCAGUAA
rnacentral:rRNA from 1 species